UGUAUUUUUCAAUUGAUCUUCCUGAAAUUAAGUCAAAAUGAUAAUCUUAAUGAAAUCUAGGCUGAAUUUGAAAAUGGGUCAUCUUGGGUCAAAAAAUAGGUCACUAGGUCAAAUCAAAGAAAAACCACCUUGUGUAUGCGAUAGAGGCUGUAUUUUUCAAUUGAUCUUCAUGAAAUUUGGUCAGAAUGAUAGCCUUGAGGAAAUCUAGGUCAAGUUCGAUUAUGGGUCAUCUGGGUUCAAAAACUAGGUCACUUGGUCAAAUCAAAGAAAAUACUUACUAAUAUUUUUUUCCAUGAAAUCACUAGGUCAAACAUGUUUACUCUGUUUAAAAUGUUGUGUUAUGGUGUGUUUUUCAGGUGAGCGACCUAGGGCCAUCUUGGCCCUCUUGUUUUUAUACUCAUAGAUAGUAAAUCGAUCAGAAUGGGCCAUUGUCAUAGCAAAUAAAACAUUUAUGCACUUGUUGAAUUCAAAUUGACAUAAAUUGAAACUUAGAAAGAAGACGGUCUGAAACCCUUUGCAUAAAUUAAUACGUGUAUGAUUGAACGUGAGCCUGAAUCAUACGGUUAGCUAUGACGCCUUAUGUUUGUUUCAGAUGAAUACCUGCACCAUGAAAAUACUGUAGAUCUGAUUUGUAAACUGUCGUGGAACUGUGUUCGGCUCGCACAUUUCCUAUUCAGCAGGAAUGCAUGAUGGAGACCAACAGUACAGAAAGAUGAAGAAGUAAAUUGAUCCAAAUAAACAAUGGGACAAUGAAUUUUAUAAUUACCAAGAAGAAGACUACACUUUUAUACAGUUGAAGUAUGAUAUGGUGAAUAAAUACCCUCAAUGCAGCCAUAUGGGGCUUUGGCUAGACCAUGAACAGUACUAGUAGACAUCAGAAAGGAAUGCAUCGGGACUUCUAUGCCUAAUUAUUUUUUCUGGAGUUGUUGCCGUUUUGGACCUCGAAAUAAUUCCAUCACAUUGUAAAGUUAAGUCGUACAGUUUCCAUCCAACUGAAUUGAAACUUGGUAUACAUCAACGGUAUGAAGUGGAUAUGUACAUGUUGUCCUGACUUUUAUGAUCGAUUAUUUUGUCUGGAGUUGUGGCCCUUCUUUGACGGCUAAUGACAACUACAUUGUAGUUUCCUACAUUUCUGUUCAUUUCAAUUAAAACUUGUUAAGUGUCGUGGACAUUAUGUAGACAUGUACAUUUGUUUUGUGUUCAGUUGUUUUAGUUAUGUCAGUUUUAAUUAAUAACAUUAUUGAGCCGUCGGUAUACUACAUGAUUGAAUGAAACAUUUUCUGUCAACACCAUUCUAGUUCCUUUUGCAACCUCCAUGAAGGAAUAUUGUCAAACUGUACAGAUAAGGGGAAGUAACACUGUUUUGGAGUUUGGUUCCUUUUGUAGCACAACUUUCUGUGCAUAAUUGUGUAUUGAUAAUAUAUACUUUUAUAUGUGUGGACAUGCAUGAAUUUGUUAUGCUGCAAAAUAAAACUGUUGUCAUAAAUUACUUAACUU